GAAAAGGAGACUGGCUCCAGUUGGUUUGGGGAAUGCAAGAGACAUAAGGGUUAGUCCUGGGGACCACGGCUAUAUCCCUUUCUUCUGUGAGUUUACUGGUACUUUCUUCAGUCGUUUGUUUUCAUAGUGAAUUUAUCUUCCACCAGUAAAGUGAGCAUCAGUGAGCUGCUGCCUAAAGCCUGGUGUCGGACAGCCAUGUAGGGAUAGUCCAGGAUCAUGGUUUCAGGAGUUAUGCCUGCAAGCCGGGUCUAUAAUCCCUUCCCUCCCAGGAGCUUCACUCCUGAAACAAGACCUAAAGUUAAUUUACAGGAGGUAGACUAACUGCAUUAGGAAAGCUGUCUGUGGAGAAAAUAAAGGCUUUAAAAGUGCACACAGAGACAACAUAGAUGUUGUCUUACUAAUAUCAUUUUUGGGUUCUCUUUCAGUUUUUUUGUACACCAGUGUAGAAGAAGACAAAUCCAUUCCCAGAGAAAAUGGAGCAAGUGCUCGUAUAGGAGGGGCAGUAUUCUGUUCUUUCGCAUAGUAAUGCUCGCACUUAUUAAGGUUUAAUGGGAGGGUAUUUCCGCAUAGAGAAGCUAAUCCUUUGAGAGGCCAGCCUAUAUUUGAACUGCAGAAACAUCAGGCAGAUUUUCCCAUUGUCUACUGACUAAGCUGAGCUAAGGAAAACCUGUUAUCUGCUAUGUUAAUGAGCUGUCCUUCCCCUGGAGGACCUGUUACCACUGCGUCUCCUGCUAACCCCAGUCUGGGCUAGCCAGAAUAUUUUCCAGUUGAUUUUUUUAGAGACAUAGUUAAGC
rnacentral:lncRNA from 1 species